CCUACGGGAGGCAGCAGUGAGGAAUAUUGGUCAAUGGACGAGAGUCUGAACCAGCCAAGUCGCGUGAAGGAUGACUGCCCUAUGGGUUGUAAACUUCUUUUAUAUGGGAAUAAAAUGUUCCACGUGUGGGAUUUUGUAAGUACCCUAUGAAUAAGGAUCGGCUAACUCCGUGCCAGCAGCCGCGGUAAUACGGAGGAUCCGAGCGUUAUCCGGAUUUAUUGGGUUUAAAGGGAGCGUAGGUGGAAUGUUAAGUCAGGUGUGAAAUUUUGCGGCUCAACCGUAAAAUUGCCGUUGAAACUGGCAGUCUUGAGUAAAGUAGAGGUAGGCGGAAUGCGUGGUGUAGCGGUGAAAUGCUUAGAUAUCACGAAGAACUCCGAUUGCGAAGGCAGUUUACUGGAGUGCAACUGACACUGAUGCUCGAAAGUGUGGGUAUCAAACAGGAUUAGAUACCCUUGUAGUC
rnacentral:rRNA from 1 species